UACAGCCAUAUCGCGUGGAAACACCGGCUCUUGUACGAUCACCGAAGUUAAGUAACGUCAAACCUGGUCAAUACAAUGAUGGGUGACCGCUUGAAAAUAUCAGGUGCUGUU